rnacentral:rRNA from 1 species
GCAUAUCAAUAAGCGGAGGAAAAGAAACUAACAAGGAUUCCCCUUAGUAACUGCGAGUGAAGCGGGAAAAGCUCAAAUUUAAAAUCUGGUAGUCUUUGGCUGCCCGAGUUGUAAUCUAGAGAAGCGUUAUCCGCGCUGGACCGUGUGUAAGUCUCCUGGAAUGGAGCGUCAUAGAGGGUGAGAAUCCCGUCUUUAACACGGACUACCAGGGCUUUGUGAUGCGCUCUCAAAGAGUCGAGUUGUUUGGGAAUGCAGCUCUAAAUGGGUGGUAAAUUCCAUCUAAAGCUAAAUAUUGGCGAGAGACCGAUAGCGAACAAGUACCGUGAGGGAAAGAUGAAAAGAACUUUGGAAAGAGAGUUAAACAGUACGUGAAAUUGUUGAAAGGGAAACGCUUGAAGUCAGUCGCGUUGGUCAGGGAUCAACCUUGCUUUUGCUUGGUGUACUUCCUGGUUAACGGGUCAGCAUCAAUUUUGACCAGUGGAAAAAGGUCAGGGGAAUGUGGCAUCUUCGGAUGUGUUAUAGCCUCUGGUCAUAUACACUGGUUGGGAUUGAGGAACUCAGCACGCCGCAAGGCCGGGGUUUACCCACGUUCGUGCUUAGGAUGCUGGCAUAAUGGCUUUAAUCGACCCGUCUUGAAACACGGACCAAGGAGUCUAACAUGCCUGCGAGUGUUUGGGUGGAAAACCCAAGCGCGUAAUGAAAGUGAAAGUUGGGAUCCCUGUCGUGGGGAGCACCGACGCCCGGACCAGACCUUUUGUGACGGAUCCGCGGUAGAGCAUGUAUGUUGGGACCCGAAAGAUGGUGAACUAUGCCUGAAUAGGGUGAAGCCAGAGGAAACUCUGGUGGAGGCUCGUAGCGAUUCUGACGUGCAAAUCGAUCGUCGAAUUUGGGGUAUAGGGGGCGAAAGACUAAUCGAACCAUCUAGUAGCUGGUUCCUGCCGAA